rnacentral:piRNA from 1 species
UGCUUUUGGGNGUUUAAGAACAUAUGAGC